CUCAGGUCAGUGCAGGGGUGGAUGUAGGGGGUCCCUAGGCAAAAAUGGGGGAUCCUGGGCUGGGGAGGUGAAUGGAGGACCAGUGCAGGGGUGGAUGUAGGGGGUCCCUAGGUAAAAAUGGGGGGUCCUGGGCUGGGGAGGUGAAUGGAGGAUAUCCUGGGUUGGUGUGGGGGUGUCCCAGUGGUUUCAGGUGGAUGUGGGGGUCCUGGGACUCCCAGGUCCAUGUGGAGGUGGAUGCAGAGGAUGGAAGCGAGUAGUCAUGGGUCAGUGCAGGUGUGGGUGAGGGAGUGUGCUGGUCAGUGUGGGGGAUCCCAGUGGUUUGGGGUUGGUACAGGAUGUGGGGGGAUCCCUGGGGUCAGUGUGGGACUGUCUGGGGAGUUUCCUGGGGAUCCCAUGUCUGUGUGGGGGUGGAUGAGGAGGUUCCUGGCAGGGGCUCAGAUCCAUGCAGGGCUGGAUGCGGUGAGUCUCGGAUCAGAAGUGUGGGGAUGGAUGUUCAGGGUCCCGGAUAGGGUGUGCAGUUGGGUGUGGGGGGUCACGGCAGUCCCGGGUCGGUGCAGGGCUGGAUGCGGGGAUCCUGCAGGAUGUGCCGGGGUCGGCGUGGGGUUGGAUGCGGGUUGUCCCAGGUCCAUGUCCCUGACUGGAUACGGAGUGUCCCGCUCGGAUGCGGGUGUCCCGGGUCUGUCCCGGGUUGGAUGCGGAUGUCCCGGUUGGAUGGGGU
rnacentral:lncRNA from 12 species